GAUGAAGAACGUAGCGAAAUGCGAUACUUGGUGUGAAUUGCAGAAUCCCGUGAACCAUCGAGUCUUUGAACGCAAGUUGCGCCCGAAGCCAUUAGGCCGAGGGCACGCCUGCCUGGGCGUCGCACGUCGUUGCCCCCCCAUCUACUCCUUCGGGAUUGCGGGGGGCGGAUGAUGGCCUCCCGUGCGCCUCGCCGCGCGGUUGGCAUAAAUGCCAAGUCCUCGGCGACGCACGCCACGACAAUCGGUGGUUGCGAAACCUCGGUUGCCCGUCGUGUGCGGUCGUCGCGCAUCGAGGGCUCGAAAAAAUUGCCGGGUUCCGGCUCGGCUUUCAACGCGACCCCAGGUCAGGCGGGGUUACCCGCUGAAUUUAAGCAUAUCAAUAAGCGGAGGA
rnacentral:misc_RNA from 1 species